rnacentral:rRNA from 1 species
UACGUAGGGGGCAAGCGUUGUCCGGAUUUACUGGGCGUAAAGAGCGUGUAGGCGGCCAAACAGGUCCGUUGUGAAAACUGGAGGCUCAACCUCCAGACGUCGACGGAAACCGUAUGGCUAGAGUCCGGAAGAGGAGAGUGGAAUUCCUGGUGUAGCGGUGAAAUGCGUAGAUAUCUGGAGGAACACCGGUGGCGAAGGCGGCAUCCUGGACCGGCAUUGACGCUGAGGCGCGAAAGCUAGGGGAGCAAACGGG